rnacentral:rRNA from 1 species
ACGUAGGCGGCAAGCGUUGUCCGGAAUUAUUGGGCGUAAAGGGAGCGCAGGCGGGAAACUAAGCGGAUCUUAAAAGUGCGGGGCUCAACCCCGUGAUGGGGUCCGAACUGGUUUUCUUGAGUGCAGGAGAGGAAAGCGGAAUUCCCAGUGUAGCGGUGAAAUGCGUAGAUAUUGGGAAGAACACCAGUGGCGAAGGCGGCUUUCUGGACUGUAACUGACGCUGAGGCUCGAAAGCUAGGGUAGCGAACGGGAUUAGAUACCCCGGUAGUCCUAGCCGUAAACGAUGGAUACUAGGUGUGGGAGGUAUCGACCCCUUCCGUGCCGGAGUUAACGCAAUAAGUAUCCCGCCUGGGGAGUACGGCCGCAAGGUUG